rnacentral:tRNA from 1 species
CGCAAUGUAGCUCAGUGGAUAGAGCAAGCAGCUUAUAACUGCUAGGCCGAGGGUUCGAUUCCCUCUGUUGUGU